CAACCAUCAAGCCCUGGGCUUGUGUUGGGGACCCGCGGCUGCUCGCGGGCCCUGAAAAGCAGUGGCGGGCUCGCUAGUCACACCGAGCGUAGUAGAACUUCUAUUCGAUCUCGCUCAGGGCGUGCGGCGGGUGCCAGCCGUAAAACCCCAGCUUCUUCUAA
rnacentral:misc_RNA from 1 species